rnacentral:tRNA from 1 species
CAUCAGAUGACUGAAAGCAAGUAUUGGUCUCUUAAACCAUUUAAUAGUAGGUAUGCAGCUACUUCUGAUGG